rnacentral:rRNA from 1 species
GACGAACGCUGGCGGCGUGCCUAAUACAUGCAAGUCGAGCGAAGUUUUUCUGGUGCUUGCACUAGAAAAACUUAGCGGCGAACGGGUGAGUAACACGUAAAGAACCUGCCUCAUAGACUGGGACAACUAUUGGAAACGAUAGCUAAUACCGGAUAACAGUAUUUCUCGCAUGAGAGAUAUUUAAAAGUUGGUUAUGCUAACACUAUGAGAUGGCUUUGCGGUGCAUUAGCUAGUUGGUGGGGUAAAGGCCCACCAAGGCGACGAUACAUAGCCGACCUGAGAGAGGGAUCGGCCACACUGGGACUGAGACACGGCCCAGACUCCUACGGGAGGCAGCAGUAGGGAAUCUUCCGCAAUGGGCGGAAGCCUGACGGAGCAACGCCGCGUGAGUGAAGAAGGAUUUCGGUUCGUAAAGCUCUGUUGUUAGGGAAGAAUGAAUAUGUAGUAACUAUACAUGUAAGAGACGGUACCUAACCAGAAAGCCACGGCUAACUACGUG